rnacentral:rRNA from 1 species
AGUGAACGCUGGCGGUAGGCCUAACACAUGCAAGUCGAACGGCAGCACAGGAGAGCUUGCUCUCUGGGUGGCGAGUGGCGGACGGGUGAGGAAUACAUCGGAAUCUACUCUGUCGUGGGGGAUAACGUAGGGAAAUUUACGCUAAUACCGCAUACGACCUACGGGUGAAAGCAGGGGACCUUUGGGCCUUGCGCGAUUGAAUGAGCCGAUGUCGGAUUAGCUAGUUGGCGGGGUAAAGGCCCACCAAGGCGACGAUCCGUAGCUGGUCUGAGGGGAGGAUCAGCCACACUGGAACUGGGACACGGGCCAGACUCCUACGGGAGGCAGCAGUGGGGAAUAUUGGACAAUGGGCGCAAGCCUGAUCCAGCCAUACCGCGUGGGUGAAGAAGGCCUUCGGGUUGUAAAGCCCUUUUGUUGGGAAAGAAAUCCAGCUGGCUAAUACCCGGUUGGGAUGACGGUACCCAAAGAAUAAGCACCGGCUAACUUCGUGCCAGCCGCCGCGGUAA